UACAUGGCGGGCAUUUGGAUCCGUUGUUGCUCUAUACUUAUUAUUUUAUCUGCAUUAGACUCAACCUAUAUACACAAUCAUGAAUUACCAUACAUGGAAAAUUUGUCGAAUACGAUAAAUGUCCAUAAUAUAGCCCCACCCAUAGACAUAGAGCCCAUGAUGGAAAUAGCAAUUUUUGUAGACUACCCGAUGAUGGCUAUAAGAAAAUUAAGAGGUCUUGAUGUGGAAGAUGGGAUCAAAAUAUAUGUGGAUACGUUAAUCAAGGGUAUAAAUGCCUUAUAUCAUCAAAUGACGAUGGAG